rnacentral:ncRNA from 1 species
CCGGGAACAGCCCAGCUGGAGAAUCGGGCGGCUGUGCCGUCCGAAUUGUAGUCUGGAGACGCGUCCUCAGCGACGGACCGGGCCCAAGUCCCCUGGAAAGGGGCGCCUGGGAGGGUGAGAGCCCCGUCCGGCCCGGACCCUGUCGCCCCACGGUGCGCGGUCAACGAGUCGGGUUGUUUGGGAAUGCAGCCCAAAUCGGGCGGUAGACUCCGUCCAAGGCUAAAUACAGGCGAGAGACCGAUAGCGAACAAGUACCGCGAGGGAAAGAUGAAAAGGACUUUGAAAAGAGAGUCAA